rnacentral:tRNA from 1 species
GGAGCUGUUGCUCAGGGGAGAGCAGUUGACUGCAGACCAAGAGGUCCCUGGCUCAGCUCCAGAUUGCUCUU